rnacentral:rRNA from 1 species
CCCUUAGAUGUUCUGGGCCGCACGCGCGCUACACUGAUGCAUUCAACGAGUUUCUUCCUGGUCCGAGAGGAAUGGGUAACCUUUGAAAGUGCAUCGUGAUAGGGAUAGACUAUUGCAAUUAUUGGUCUUCAACGAGGAAUUCCUAGUAGACGUAGUUCAUCAGACUGCAUCGAUUACGUCCCUGCCCUUUGUACACACCGCCCGUCGCUCCUACCGAUCGAAGAGUUAGGUGAAUUGUUUUGAUCGAUAAGAUUUGACUAUGGUCAACUCUCGUUGUGAAAUUCUGUGAAUCUGACUGUUUAGAGGAAGGAAAAGUCGUAACA